rnacentral:rRNA from 1 species
GACGAACGCUGGCGGCGUGCUUAACACAUGCAAGUCGAACGGAAAGGCCCUGCUUUUGUGGGGUGCUCGAGUGGCGAACGGGUGAGUAACACGUGAGUAACCUGCCCUUGACUUUGGGAUAACUUCAGGAAACUGGGGCUAAUACCGGAUAGGAGCUCCUGCUGCAUGGUGGGGGUUGGAAAGUUUCGGCGGUUGGGGAUGGACUCGCGGCUUAUCAGCUUGUUGGUGGGGUAGUGGCUUACCAAGGCUUUGACGGGUAGCCGGCCUGAGAGGGUGACCGGCCACAUUGGGAAUGAGAUACGGCCCAGACUCCUACGGGAGGCAGCAGUGGGGAAUAUUGCAAAAUGGGCGGAAGCCUGAUGCAGCAACGCCGCGUGCGGGAUGAAGGCCUUAGGGUUGUAAACCGCUUUCGCAUGUGACGAAGCGUGAGUGACGGUAAUGAGUAAAGAAGCACCGGCGAACUACGUG